GUUGUGAUUAUUCCAUUUUUAAUGCUAUAUGUCAAAGGAAGUGUCUUGGCUUGCUUGGUAUAAUUCCUUGAGCAUUUCCUGUGCAAAUCAGGUGUUAUCAGAAACCAAAUCAUUUUCAUACAAGCUUUGAGAAGUUUUGUACACUUAAUGAUAGUUCUUUCUUCAUUUUUCCUUCUCAGCCUUCACCAAACAUAAAUAAGGCCCUCAAAUGAAGUUUACAAUAUGGUGAUGACUGAAGAUAAAAAAGACAGCUGUCUGGGUUCAUCUUGUGUGACCUGAAAGCAAUGUGGAGUGUAUACUUAAAGUUUUGUUUUCUCAAGUGUGUUACUUUUUCCACAAAAUGACUGAAGAUGAUUCAUGAGACUUUUCUUCAUUUGAUUUAAUAGGGCAGUAUCAUGAUGAUUUCAUUGCUAUUUCUAGUGUUGUACCUUUUUAUUUUCCCUCUUGAGAAAUACUAAACCACUACCAAAUGACUGUUACUUAUUUAUUUGUUUGUUUGUUUGUUCACUCAUUCUUUAUUUAUUUAUUUUCUAAAAUGCACUUACUAUGACGGAUGAUAACAUGCUCCCUUUUUAAAUUACGCUUAUAAUGUUAGAUUUUUCAUUUGUGUUCCAAAUACUAUUGGAAAAGUAUUCCCUAACCCAAAAUUUCUAAAAUAUAAUUCUUUUUUCUUUUUUUUUUCAAAAUGAUUGAAGUCUCUCUUCCAGAAAUCAAAAUGAUUGAAGUCUCUCUUCCAGAAAACAAAAUUAAAUGUACAACGAAAGUUGUGUCAAGGCAUACAAAGAGAAGUCUUGGGAAUGGAGAUUAAGAGGGAACUUCCAGAUGUCACCAGAACACUAGCGAUGCAAGGCUGCUGGUACCUCAUGAUGCCCACAAGUAUGCAGCUGUCUACACCAACCAGCAGUGUGGCUGAGGAGUGGACCAGGUCUGAACUGUGCCAUCAGUGGAUCACCAGAAGGAAUCAUUGAAGAAGUUUUCCUUCUAUGUUGGUUUCUAAGCAAUGAGGAAGGUACAAUGCACUGCAUAACAGUUUACAAAAUUGUUCCUCAUACGAGAGGAUCUCAGCAUUCUUGAUGGAGUGUAAUGGGCUGCGGUGCCCCCAGAAAUAGCCUUUAAAAGCCCCAGGCUGAUCAGCAUAAUUGCUGUCUCUUAAAACUUUGUGCCAGCACUGAUGUGAAUGGAGGAGACUCCAGCAAUGCGCCUGUUUCCAUGGAGUACAUCAAAGAACAAUGGAGCAGAAGGCAAAACUUGGAUGAAGCUACCCUCAGGAAAGAGGCUGGUACAUUUGUGGACAGGGAAAAGAGACAGAACAUGAAAGAAGCAUGCUAAAUGGAGAAUCUCAAGUCAUCCAGGCCAGUCCUUUGGCAUCAGCAGCAACCAUGUAACAGAGGUCUUUUUCAUGAACACAUCAAGAACAUCACUAACUUGGCAAUGUUGUAGUCUGAAGAACUCUGUCCCAUUCUGGUAAAGUUGGGCACGGUACAAAUUAAUUUCUUUAGGGAUGGCAUACUGCUCUUGGAGGAUGGUUUAAGAGCCCCAGGAAAUUAAAACUUUGGAUGGAAGCAGAUUUGUACAAUGUGACUACAUCCUUCCACCAUUCUGCAUAUCACCACUACAGUUCCUAACAGGAAUUUCCUCAGCAAAAAAAAACAUAUGCAGAGAUAAUAACCUCCCUGCUGAUACUGGCAGAUACUCUUCUUUCUGAUGGACUCAUUUCAUUCAUGGACGCAACAGGGGGUGAAAGGAUUAUUUUAGCAUAUUUAUUUUCUUUCCUUUCACAUCAUUCACUGAGUAUGCACAAAUUGGAAGAAUGCCAAAUUGUUUACAGAAGAUCAGAGAUGGUUCGAGCCAAAGCUAUCAGUCUAAGUGCCCUCAAACUUUAGGGGUUUUCUGAUGUGGCUUUGACUCCAAAAGCCAUGACUCAGCCCCAUCUCUGCACCAGAACGAGCACCAAAAUGAAUGUUAAGGACAAGCCCUGUACUGAGCUGUACUGUGAGCUCCCACUGAGUGCUAGACAUGAGAAAUCUCCCUGACUCUGUCAGUGUAAAGCUUCCAAGAUGCAGGUAAUGUACAUCAUAAAUUUGAGCUGAAAAAUUUACUACAAGUGCUUUUCCUUCAAAAAUCUCAGUAAGAUCCUAUCUCCUUCCCCUUCCAGACCACCCACAAUUACAACCACAAGCCACCCACAUGCCAGUCACCCCAUCAUCGUUAGAGGUCAUCUGUCAUUCUCAGUAUCAUUCUAAAAGCAUAGUUGCCAAGACAACAAACCACUUUAAACAGAUGUUUAAUGUCACAGAUAGAAUUCAUAUAGUUAGAAUUAAUAUUGACAUUUUUAACGUGUUUACUCCCUACUAAGUGCCUGCAUAAUUUGUGAAUCUUUGCUAUAUAUAUAGUACCAAAGGGGUGGCUUUGUAGUGAUAUGGGGAUCAGACAUUUGAAGGAAGGAAUUCUGAGCUGAGGUACUUCACUAGCUCUGGCUGAGCAGUGUGGUACCACGGGGUGUUUAUGCAAAACCCUCAAGCCAGUGUCAUCACCCAAAAUGAAGAGAAUAUUGUAAUGACAUUUCCAGUACUUCCUACUUCCUUUACUUUCUUAUUUUUUAGAGAAUCAUAGAAUUGCUAAGGUUGGAAAAGGCUCACAGGAGCAUCCAGUCCAACCAUUCACCCAUCACCAAUGGCUCUCGCUAAACCAUGCCACACAACACAACAUCCAUUUCUUUCUUCCUCCUUUUUUUUUUUCUUUUUUCUUUUUUUUUUUUUUUUUCCAGAUCAUGUCAUACACAUAUUGAAACUGCCGAGCAGAUAAGUAGCAAGGAAGAAUUUUCAAGUGCAUCAAAAUAGAAGUAUUUAUCCUCAGACAUCUACUGCUAAUAUUUUUCUUAAAGUCUUCCUAAGACUAAUGCUUUUCUGUUCAGAGAGAUGAAAUCUUCACCUAUGCUUUUAUCAGCUCUGGCUUUGAUCAUUUUUACCUUAUUUUCCUUAACUUAUCUGAGGCUCGUUCACAUGCAGCCAUUAUAGGUGAUCAUCUAUUCUUACCACUGAAGAUACAUAUCUGUAAUGUUUUUCUUCUCUUUUACAGUGACAAUGUUAUUUGAAAGGUUCUUUUUCCUCACUCAGGUCCAUUCUUAAUAGUCAGCUCCUAUGCCUUUAGGUAUUGCCCUUUGAGGGGAGACAGAUGUGUGAUCAGGAAUUCAUUUUUACAAUUAAUUUAUUUUUUAAUUUGAAAUACUUUGUGAUGUUGGUCAUGAUAUACAUGUGUCUUCAAUUGACUCCACUAUAUUAUUGCUGUUUAUUGUUUCUGUCAUCUUUGAUUUCCUCUUCUGUUACAGCUCUCACUUGUUAAAAAUUUUCUUAAUUUCAGACCUGUGUACUACAACUUACACAUCUGCUUACCUUUAGUCAUCUGUGUAUUCCCAUUGAUUCCAGUGAGAAUACACACAUACUUCAAAUUAAGCACAUGUUCAAGAUUUUUGGAGUUAAAUAAUGAAAAAUAAAGUCUAGUUGUUAUUAUUUUUUACCAGCUUCAACAGCUAGCAGCUUCUGCAGAUGGCUAAACCUGCAGAGAUUUAAAAACCAUUGUUACUGAAGAAAAGACUGUAUGCCUAAAAUCAGUAAGAUUUGAAAAGAGGUCUUGACAAUAUGAAGGACAUGAUUUUUUAUGGCAGUAAUAGUGGUGUGAGCUUUCAUAGCAAGAGUUUUCCAGGAUGGUAGAUCUGGUAACAACUCAACAUUUUACUCUCUUCUGGAGACAAUAUUCAGAUCAGAUACAGUUUUCCUCCUUCAUAUGGAUUAUUAUUAUCAAAAUGAUGAGGCAGGGGGGUAAGGGAUUGUAAAUUUUUGAUGGGAAACACCCUCUGUGUAACUGGUGCUAGCUUAUUUGGUAAUCAGAGGGGAGUUCUGAUCUUUAAACUGCUGUAGAACAGGCACCUGAAGGAUAACAGAAGUUUCUGAGUAAAGGUUAGGUGAAAAAUCAGGUUGAAAAGCCAUUUGUACUGGGAAGAUUGACUACGUAACUACAAUUUAUUUUUCUUAUUUCUGUGCAUUUGUUUCAUAUUUAAAAUGUUACAGUGAGGACAGGAAGUAGCUCAAAUUUCAGUCUGCAUUAAGUAGCAUUGUAACUGCUCAUCAACUAAAAAGAAAUUAUAGGUGAUAGCAGUAUUAAUCAUGUGCCCUCUGAUAUUUCAAAUUAUUUGAAUGAACUUAAACCAUUACAAUUAUAAUCACUAAAAUGAUUUCAAAAGUCAUUGCUAGUACUAAUACAUUUGACUACUAGCAGAGUGGCAUGUAAGAGAAAAUGAAAACUGUAGGAAGAUAAUAUACUGACUGCUUCAUUUUGAUACAACUCUUCAUCGCUGCUCAAUUGAAACUUGAAAAACUUGUUUCAAGAUGCAUGAAAGUUAACUAAAAUGUUUUAUUCUAACACAGCAUAGGUCUCAAAAUAUUGACAGCUCCAAGGGACAGAAAUUGUGAGCUGCCACCAUCUGCAGCUGCACAGCCAAUAUAUGUGUUAUUUAUUGAGUCUGGAAAACAUCCCUGAAAGAGCAGGAUCAGAAGGCAGCUCAUAUAAGGGCAGAUGCCAAGAGAUGGGAGAUUGAGCCCUACACCCAACUCAUUGCUUAGUACCAGUGCUUCUCUGGCCCCUAGAAGUUAAGGAAAAAGCCCUAGCUGCUAUGGGAUCUGUUGGGAAUAGAAAACCAAAAGCCAGAGGAAAAGAGAGAGAAAAGCAGAGGGAGCAAAAAACAAAAACAAACAAACAAACAAAACCAAACCAAAACAACAACAAAAAACCACUAAUGUUUCCCAGGAAUGUCUCCUGAAAAAAAAAGAACUCAGGUCUGAAUGUUUUGGCUGCACAGAUGCGAUCACAGCCCUGAAAAUCUUUAUAAUAAAUAAUCUAAUCUAUUUCUCUGAUAACUUAGAAUAAUGGUGAGGUGUGUUUUUUGUUUGUUUGUUUGUUGUUUUUUUUUUUGCCUCAUAUAUAUACUCUGCAGUUAAUUAUUCCCUUAUUUUUUUAUUAAAAACAAAACAAAAAAAAAAAGAAAUCUUUCUGUAUGGUAACUUGUGAGUCAUAGCCUGAACCACUGAUUGAACACCUGGGGAAGGGACCCGGUCAGCCCUGGAAGAACAGGUGAAGGCAAUUCAGCUGUGUGACUGGAAGGGGUGGAGCCUGGCUGCACCUUUCUUAGACCUCAUCUAAGGGCUGACUACUACUGGUAAAGGAUCUCUGGUUGGAGAUCUCUCUCUUGUGGAGUUUUCCUGCAGGCCUGGAUCUUUGGCAGUGGUAUACAAUAACUACCCUUAUGGAAGGUGGUUACAAAAGACCGUGAAAGAGAUGAACUUCAGAUCCAGGGUCACAAGGAAACUUCUUACAAUCAAAACUCUGUUUGCUCACCUCUGAUGUUUGCAGGUUGCACAGGACGCCUUCACUUGGCUUUACAAAGGAAGACUCAUGGACAAGGAAUGCAGGAAAGUUAACUCCUAUUCUCAUGGCACAGUUAACCUAUGGUGCACACACCAACCUUGCUGAGUGUCUAAAGAGCCAUAGUCUGGUUUAGCAUAUCCAGUUUCAGACAUCAUAGUAAGUAGAAACCUGGGAAUCUGGGCACAGUAUUUUUUUUCAGAAAUUCUGGUCUUCUCCCUUGGUUUUAUUUCUUUAUUUUAGGACAUUACAAGAUAAUAGUAUAGCAUGCUUCAACUUGAGAUAUUAGCUCCCCACUUUGAUUCAUGAAUGUUUACUGAAAAUUUAUCAGAACAAAUGUACAUCUAAUGAAUUCGCUUAACUCCAUUAUCCUUAUUUUAGAUUCUUGUGAGUUAAUGAAAAGCACAGCAGGCUUGAAUUGUUUUGCUUUUAAAUCUAAAGAUAUUAUUUGUUUUGGCUUAAAGGGAAUUGUGAAAAAUGCUGACGCACUUGAAAAGAACAAACUUAACUGCUUUCUGAGGAUAACAAAUGAACCUUAACAGUGAGAUCCUGCUGUAUGUGGGGCUCUAAAAUCACAAUGUAGAAGUGCUUUACUGUGAUGUAAGUCGAAGGGUAUAAAAUUAGUUACAUGUCCAAAUAUGUGUAAUCCAAGAUGAUAUCCAGUUAAAAAUGGCUAAUGCAUAAGGAAAUUUUUUUCUCCAAAUCUAAAGGAAUCGCUUAUACUCCCAUCCAAGAUUGAGUGACAUCACACACCAUGAAACAACAAUAUCUAACAAAACUUGUUCACUUCAACAGAAAUUUUCAAAGUCUGUUCAGACUUUUCCUCAUCACUGCUGCCUGACUUCAGUCUUGACAUCCUAAAUCUGAGAGUCACUCACUCCUUUUUUACUUCUUGUUCUACCACACUGACCAAUAGCUUUGCUUUUCCUUCUCAGUCUGUACCCACAACGUGCAUCAGCCAUACAAACAAUCUGAGUUUUUUUUAUGUAAAGCAUUACCCAUAUUCACUGGGGAAAAAACCAUAAACUGAAGCAAGUUUUCAAUAAAAUAAUGAAAUUAAAUUCUAGGUAGCUAGGAACAGCACACAUUGGAUUUCAGAGCUUCAUAUCUCCAUGCUACAGCUAAUACAGUUUCAUAGUUUUCAGUGUAUGUGAAACACUGCUAUUCAGGAGCUAUGCAGAAACAUAAAUUGCAAUUCCAGGAGGUAAAAAGAAGUAUCUAUUAAUUGUAUGUAUCAGUUUGUAUUCUAUAGGAGUAUGUGUUACAGAAAUAUAAUUCUGUUACGUGACAUAUGGCUGUCUUAUGGGGAACUAGUGCUAUGCUAGUAUUGAAAGAAAUGUUCUGUUCUCAACCAUAUACAAAUGCUUUUUUUUUUAUUGGCCUUGGUCUUCACAGAGGUCUAGCUUAAAUUCUGUUUUUCAUUAAUGUUGAAUGUCAGGAAAAGAAGCCAGGAUCCAACCCCAUAAUGCCAUUGUUGUGCUAUUUGAAAAGAUUUGCUGGUCUGUACUGUAAGCUCCCUGGGACAAAGUCUGUCUUUCCAGUGGUUGCAGACUGUGCAAAACAAUAGAAACAAUGCUGGAAUAUAAUAAAUGUUUAACAGUAUUAACAGUGCCAGUAGAUUCAGUUCUGGUCCAUGUAAUUGCAAAGUGUGUCCAGAUGCUGCAAUGAUGCAUACCUUGCAAAUGCAUGUAAUGAUAAACAGAUAAUAAAGGUU